GUGGGCGUAGCUCAGUCGGUUAGAGCGCCGGAUUGUGGUUCCGGAGGUCGCCGGUUCGAUUCCGGUCGCUCACC
rnacentral:tRNA from 2 species